CCUACGGGAGGCAGCAGUGGGGAAUAUUGCACAAUGGGCGCAAGCCUGACCCAGCAACGCCGCGUGAAGGAUGGAGGCUUUCGGGUUGUAAACUUCUUUUCUGAGGGAGCAAGGAACUUUCGGUUCCGCAUACAUUUCGAACAACUAACGGCUAACUACGUGCCAGCAGCAGCGGUAGUACGUAGGGGGCAUGCGUUAUCCGGAGUUAUUGGGGGUAAAGGGCCCGUAGGCGGGUAGGCACGUCAGGUGUGAAAGCUCAGGGCUUAACGGUGGGUCCGCACCGGUUACGGGCUGGCUUGAGUGCGGGAGGGGAGACUGGAAUUCCCGGUGUAGCGGUGAAAUGUGUAGAUAUAGGGAGGAACACCAAUGGCGAAGGCAGAUCGCUGGACCGUAACUGACGCUGAGGAGCGAAAGCGUGGGGAGCAAACAGGAUUAGAUACCCCUGUAGUC
rnacentral:rRNA from 1 species